AAAUUUUUACAAAAUGUGCAUAAAAGUAUAUCGGAGAACAUGAUAAAAUUAGAAUGAGAUUGAAUUUGAAUAAUAAGCGAUUUAAAACCAUCAAAACUGAAGUAUGCUUCUGGAGGUGAUGUUUUAUUUCCCUUGUUUGCAUGCCAUUUCACUGACACACGAAUUCCAAAGGUCAUUUGGAAUUCAGCAGUUCAUAAACUUGACUCAGAGGGGGUCAUGUUUACGAGCUGUUGAAUUCCAAAGUCAUUUGGUGUCAAAACACAGUUCACUGUUCACUUUUACAAAUGAAACAGGAGUGUGUUCUGACAUCAGGAAAAGAUUUAGGGCUGUCUAAAAUGUAAUUGUUUUGUAUGCUUACAUAAUUUUG
rnacentral:lncRNA from 1 species